rnacentral:rRNA from 1 species
CAGUUCGGAUUGCAGUCUGCAACUCGACUGCAUGAAGCUGGAAUCGCUAGUAAUCGCGAAUCAGCAUGUCGCGGUGAAUACGUUCCCGGGUCUUGUACACACCGCCCGUCACACCAUGGGAGUCGGAAAUGCCCGAAGCCAGUGACCCAACCUUUAAGGAGGGAGCUGUCGAAGGCAGGUCUGGUAACUGGGGUGAAGUCGUAACAAGGUACC